rnacentral:rRNA from 1 species
UACAGAGGUCUCGAGCGUUGUUCGGAUUCAUUGGGCGUAAAGGGUGCGUAGGCGGCUCGGUAAGUCGGAUGUGAAAUCCCGGGGCUCAACCCCGGAACUGCAUUCGAUACUGCGUUACUUGAGUACUGGAGAGGAGACUGGAAUUUACGGUGUAGCAGUGAAAUGCGUAGAUAUCGUAAGGAAGACCAGUGGCGAAGGCGAGUCUCUGGACAGUUACUGACGCUGAGGCACGAAGGCCAGGGGAGCAAACGGG